rnacentral:tRNA from 1 species
GCGGGUGUGGCCUAGUCCGGUUAAGGCGCGAUCCUGUCACGAUCGAGAUCACGGGUUCGAAUCCCGUCACCCGCG